CAAAAACCAAAUCUGAUAAAUUUUGAUUUUUGAAAAUCCGAAUUUAUAGUUUCGAUUGGCAGGAGUCCAAUUCUUUGAGAACCAGGUUCUCACUCAUGGCUUCAUCAAUUGGGUUAUACUUAUUGCUCUCAUCAAUGGCGUUGAGGCUUCUGUUGUAACCCUCAUUUGAUGAAGAAUCAGAGCACCCAAAGCCAUGGGACAGAGUGAUUUGUGUUUCGUAGAGAGAGAGAGAGAGAAGAGGAAGACGAGGAAGCUUUUAUCAGAGAAGAGCCCCAUGGAUUGAGAGUGAAGCCUAAGGUUAAGGGAGUUGUUAAUAUACUUGGUUGUCAUGCCUUCUUUUUCUUGGUGACAAAUGCUGCUCCGAACUGUUGCAGGGUCAUCUUCAUAGCCUGUGAGAGCUAUUUUUGGAGAGAGAAACAGAGAGAGGGAGAUUGAUGGGGAUAUGGAAAGAAGAGGAAAUUGAGAGGUUACAGUACUUGGGGUGGGGGAAUGGAAACUUGAAAUUCUGAAAGAGCAAAAGAAUUCUGCAGAAACCCAAAUGUAAUGAGAGAGAGAGAGAGAUUUUUUUUUUCACAUAGGGAUAACUGUUGGUUUUUAAGUUCAACAGAUAGAGGAAUUGGGUUUUUGAAAUAAUGAGUUCAGGAUUAUUUGGGUUUUCGAAAAAUCGAAAAUAAGUGAUUUUUUUAAAAAAAUAAUUAUAUGAAUAUAAGUGUAAUAACAUAAAUUUAAAAGUACUUUUAUAGUAACGGCAGAUAUAUACAUAAAUUUUUUAUUUUUUAAUAUAUAUUUUAAUAAAUUGGUAGAAUUCCCCAAUCAUCCUUAAUAAAUAACUGAGCCGACCAGACCCAUACUCUUUUUUCUUUCCAAAACAAUUUUACGCCAUAACUUGAUUUAAUUAUACAAAAUGAAUGGGAUAAAAGGGAGCACCAUUUUUUGAUAUAACCCAGUUCAAAUCCUGAGUAUCGUGCGGCUUCCUAUGCCACGUUGGUUCCAUGUAACAGCCAAGUGUUGCAACCAUGCACACGUGCACCAAGAAAGAGGCAGUUCUACGCAUAGGAAGGCAACAACAUGGCUUCGAGCGACAUGCCUCGAAGAACGACGCCCGCCCGAUCCCAGGCGAACCGCUGUCGGUUGAAUCUCAAGUGUUGUAAAGAGGGGCACAAAUGCUGCAGUCGUUGAAGCCCCGCCCGUGAAACAGAUCCAACAGCAUGUUUGCAGCUUUAGGCUUUACUCUCAUGACCUUACUCGGCAGAUUCGGGGAUCUGGUGCAAGUGAAGUUGCCCUGGAGAAACUUUCCCCAUGGCGUUGGUAUACCCUUUUAAUUGACCUUGCACUCCAGGCAUUAUGGACAUCUUGGAGAAAUAUCACAAAAAAUAAGAUGUGCUUUCCAAGUUAUUCUAGUCACUUCAAACAAUCCUAGGCAUUGGGUAAUAACUAGUGGCACAGUUAUUACAGGGUACCUUAAUCAGCUGAGGGUCAAGGGCCCUCAAGUCAUUUGAAACAAUCUUCGGCAGAGGGAAUUAGCCAGCGGCAUGCUUAUUUUGGUAGGGUACCUUAAUCAACUUUAUUAUGGUAGGGUACCUUAAUCAACUAAGGAUGUAGGACCUUCAGAUGACUUGAGCAAUAGGGGUUGCUUUUAUUAUCGACAUUCUCAUUCUUCUAAAAUGGUGCUCAUUGAAUUAUUAUACAGGCGUUGAGUACAUUGUAUCUGAUCGGAUCUUCGAAAGUCUGCAGGAUGAAGAGAAGAAAUUAUGGCAUUCUCAUGCCUAUGAGAUAAAAGCGCGUUUGCGGGUGAAUCCUAGAGUCCUGAGAUGUUGCAGAAGGCAGAGCUGAGUGAAAUGGCAAAGACUAAUGGAAAGUUCUGGUGUACAUGGCAAGUGGAUAGAGUGUCGAAGCUGGGAUCCCUUGCGUAUAGAGGGAAUGAUUUGCAGAGGCUGCACUUCAAACUGCUCCACCAGUGGGAGGCCCGACCCAAUCCCCAAAUCCUUCCCCAUAGUAUAUAUUGCUUCACCGAGGUCAGGAUACGGGAAUCGCAAAAGAUCCAAAGUAACGCAGAAAUUGCAUUCAUCUCAUGUCACCUUUAUAAGCGAUAAUGGAAUCAAGGCUACUAUGUGGAGGUCCAAGUCGCCAGCUGAUGAAGAUAAACAAUUCGACAUGGAUGCAGGCGCCACUUCACUUUCGGUUUUCCGUAAAUUGGUCCUUUACAAACACAACUGCUCCUCGUCAAAGGGAAUUUCAAUUUUUAA